AGAGUUUGAUCAUGGCUCAGGAUGAACGCUAGCGGCAGGCCUAACACAUGCAAGUCGAGGGGUAGCAGGAUAAAGCUUGCUUUAUUGCUGACGACCGGCGCACGGGUGCGUAACGCGUAUGCAACCUACCUUAUACUGGGGUAUAGCCCGGAGAAAUUCGGAUUAAUCCCCCAUAGCAUUAUCGAUUCGCAUGUUUUGAUAAUUAAAGGUUACGGUAUAAGAUGGGCAUGCGUCCCAUUAGCUAGAUGGUGAGGUAACGGCUCACCAUGGCGACGAUGGGUAGGGGGCCUGAGAGGGUGGUCCCCCACACUGGUACUGAGACACGGACCAGACUCCUACGGGAGGCAGCAGUGAGGAAUAUUGGUCAAUGGGCGCAAGCCUGAACCAGCCAUGCCGCGUGCAGGAAGACGGUCCUAUGGAUUGUAAACUGCUUUUAUUCGGGAAUAAACCUCCUUACGUGUAGGGAGCUGAAGGUACCGAAUGAAUAAGCACCGGCUAACUCCGUGCCAGCAGCCGCGGUAAUACGGAGGGUGCAAGCGUUAUCCGGAAUCAUUGGGUUUAAAGGGUCCGCAGGCGGUCUUAUAAGUCAGUGGUGAAAGCCUACAGCUCAACUGUAGAACUGCCAUUGAUACUGUAAGACUUGAAUUCGAUCGAAGUGGGCGGAAUAUGACAUGUAGCGGUGAAAUGCUUAGAUAUGUCAUAGAACACCGAUAGCGAAGGCAGCUCACUAGG
rnacentral:rRNA from 1 species